rnacentral:rRNA from 1 species
CAGUCGCCGCGGUAAUACGUAGGGUGCAAGCGUUAAUCGGAAUUACUGGGCGUAAAGCGUGCGCAGGCGGUUAUAUAAGUCAGAUGUGAAAUCCCCGGGCUCAACCUGGGAACUGCAUUUGAGACUGUAUGGCUAGAGUGUGUCAGAGGGGGGUAGAAUUCCACGUGUAGCAGUGAAAUGCGUAGAUAUGUGGAGGAAUACCGAUGGCGAAGGCAGCCCCCUGGGAUAACACUGACGCUCAUGCACGAAAGUGUGGGGAGCAAACAGGAUUAGAUACCCGUGUAGUCCCUGUCUCUUAUAC